CUGCCUGCAAUUUGGCAGUUCAAAUCUCACCAGGCUCAAGGUUGACUCAGCCUUCCAUCCUUCCAAAGAAGUGGGUAAAAUGAGGACCCAGAUUGUUGGGGGGCAAUAUGCUGACUCUGUAAACUGCUUAGAGAGGGCUGUAAA